AGAGACAGCAGUAGCCACGGUACACGUAGGUGGCAAGCGUUGUCCGGAAUUAUUGGGCGUAAAGCGCGCGCAGGUGGUUUAAUAAGUCUGAUGUGAAAGCCCACGGCUCAACCGUGGAGGGUCAUUGGAAACUGUUAAACUUGAGUGCAGGAGAGAAAAGUGGAAUUCCUAGUGUAGUGGUGAAAUGCGUAGAGAUUAGGAGGAACACCAGUGGCGAAGGCGGCUUUUUGGCCUGUAACUGACACUGAGGCGCGAAAGCGUGGGGAGCAAACAGGAUUAGAUACCCCCGUAGUCCCUGUCUCUUAUACA
rnacentral:rRNA from 1 species